rnacentral:lncRNA from 1 species
CUUGCCCACUUGGCUCCCUCUAGGGAAGUACUCCCAGCUGCCCAGAGUCAUCCUUCUCCAUCCCACUGACCUUCCACCCGUGACCAAUCAGGAGAUGUUUCCAGUUUAUUGGUGAAUUUAUUAGGGCUCAGAGAGGAUGACCUAUCCAAGGUCCCACUGCCAACUGAAUGUAGGACAAGUCUCUGAACCCAGUGUGCCCCUGCCAGAAAGUAGCAGGGAUCACAGAAGUCCAGCAGAGGUCUGCCGCCUUGGACCCUGCCUCUUACACAUUGAGUGUGGUUUCUGCAGUGAUGAGUCUCUCUCUGUCAGCCAGGCUGGAGUGCAGUGGCACCAUCUCGGCUCACUGCAACCUCCACCUCCUGGGUUCAAGCAAUUCUCAUGCCUCAGCCUCCCGAGUAGCUGGGAUUACAGGCACCCACCACCAUGCCCAGGGGAAGUUCUGUCAACCCUGGCCUGCUUUGGGACACCAGUGGACCUCCCCAGAGCUGGUGGUGAAAAUUUCUGGAGUUCACAAGAGAGCUGGUUGUUAAAAGGAGCCUGGGCCAGUGUGAUGGUUCGCAUCUCUAAUCCCAACACUUUAGGAUGCCAAGACAGGAGGAUUGCUUGAUGCCAAGACAGGAGGAUUGCUUGAGGCCAAGUAUUCAAGACCAGCCUGGGCAACACAGACAUUGCAACAUCCCUGUCUUUACCAAAAAGGAAAAAAUUAGCCAGCCAUGGUGGCAUGCACCUAUGGGCCUAGUUACUCAAGAGGCUGAUGUGGGAAGAUAGCUUGAGCCCAGGAGUUCAAGGUUACAGUGAGCUAUGAUCGCAUCACUGCACUCCAGCCUGGGUGACAGAAUAAGACCACGUCUCAAAAAACAAAGAAACAAACAAACCAGCCUGGGACCUCCUCCCUGCUUUGCUUCCUCUUCAGCAUGUGUGAUCUCUUUGCACAUGCCGAUUCCCCUUUCACAUUCCACCUUGAGCUGAAGCAGCCUGAGACCCUCACCAGA